ACUGCUGUUACUAGGUAGUUUUUUAAACUAUUAAAAUAUUUACACGACAAUUGUAUCAAACCUAUAUAACCAAAAAAAAGCCAUCUUUGUUAUCAUUCUCAUCUGGGGAUCGUUAUAUUCUGUCCAAAAUUGUUACUCAAUUUUCUACUAGACCUACUCGAACAAUGAAGAGCAGGGAAACCGCCACAAAAUGCUGCGCGUAUCUUACUUUAAUUUUAAUGACUGUUUAACAUUUGGACAAAGUAUGACAUUUAUACAUGAUAUGUAACCAAUAAGAAAGCAGUAGUCGGUUGGCCGCUCUUUGAUUAUAUAGAGUUUAACUAAAAUAUAAGUGAUUCAAAUGUCUUUUUUUAAGUGUGUUUGAAUUGGUUUUCCAAAAUCUCUUCAAUAUUUUUACAUUUUAAUGACCACCUAAAUGAUGAGAUGUACUUUAAAUCUUCUGCCUGGUGUCCAUUUAGGGACAAAUAAGAAGUGGAAAAUUAAGCAUACUUCCCAAAGUAGGCAACAUGUUGGUACGCAGAAGGUCGCAUGGUAACAGUACAGAAAAUAAAU